rnacentral:lncRNA from 1 species
AAGAACUAAAAAAUCAGGGUAAGCAAUAUUUGUUUAAGUAAAAUUUACUUAAUUGAAAUAGAGAGAAAUUAACAAUUUGAUUGAGUGUUUGAUGAAUAUAACUUUGGGACAUAAGUUUAAAGGAAACAAAUUAUUCUGGUACACUUAACACGACCUUAGUUGGAAUUACUAAUAUUAUUUGACUAAGUCGUAUCCACAACAGUUAAGUUAAAGUAGCUUAAAAAUAUAUGUUGGUUUUACUCGCUUAAAUUAAAUUCAGUUUUCAGUUUUAUUUGUCAUAUGCAAGUUAGCACAGGGUCAACAUUGCAAUGAAAUGUGUUUGACGAGCAGCAGUCACUCAGCAGCAUGGUACAGUUGUCAUGAUCCUGAGUCCAUGACUCAGCGGUUUUGGGUUUGGUGUAUUUAUUGUUAUUAUUUGUGGGCUGUUUGGGAUGGUUUGUGUUUUGGGAUUUUGAUACUGGGUUUCUGGGGUUGUGCUCCCUCUGUUGGUCCCUGGUGUGAGUGUUUCCCCUGUCUCGUCAGGUUAACCAGGUCCAGCUGUGUCUCCCACCUGUGUGUGAUUUCCCAGUGUCCCUCUGUGUAUUUAUUGUGUGUGUUUGCCUUUGUUCCUCGUUGCGUCGUCUGUGUUCAUCACUCAGUGUCACCCUGCCUACUCUGCAUUGCUCUGUGUUCUUCCUCUGUGUCACCCUGCGUGCUCUCCCUGCUGUCCUCCCUCCAUGCUCAGGUUUGCUGCUCUUUGGUUUAGAUUCUCCCAGUUUAGUUCAUCUUUAGUUCUGUUUUACCAUCUCCACUUUAUGUUUGGUAUUCAUAAUAAAUCUCCCUCACAUCUGAAUAAGUACUGCAUUUGAGUCCUCCCUUCCACACCUCACACGGCCGCUGCCCCGAGCCGUGACAGUACGACGCAACCACAAGAUGGACCCAGCAGCACUUAACCCGUCUAAAGAGCUACGGGAGAACCUCAUCGAUGCCACUCAAGAGCUCAUCGACCUGUGGCUGGAAAGCCAGGAUUACAAGUCCCAGCGCGCUAUAGAGAGGCGGCUACAGCGUCUGGUGACCGGUCUCCCUUGGCUUUUGGGCUCGCUAUACCCGUGGGAGCAGGAAUUUCUCCUUUUGGAUUUGGGACUUCAUCCCCCACCUGCAUUUCCUUCCGAGCAGCCAGAAGCGGUGAGUGAGCGGGAUGCUUUGGCUCCCCCAGAUUCCGGGUCUUUGUUUUCUGGGGCUAUCCAGAGCGGGAUGAGAGACAAUAUGUAUAGCUUACCCACCUUCGUGGUGACGGACCCUUCCCAAGUGGGGGUCUAUACACCGUCUGCUAAACCUAAAGACCGUAUCUCUGCCGCUCCUUCCGAGCCUGGACUUUAUUGCCACCCUCCAGCCCAGUUUUGCGGUCAGCCGCUAGCAGCACCGCCAUUAGCUCCCCCAAGAGCACCAUUUCCUGUUCAGUCAGCCACUCAGCUACCAUCACCACUAACAUCACUGCAACCCCUAUUUCUGUCCAUGACUCAGUCAGUAGUUCAGUUAAUGGCUGAGUCACGAUCUUCACUCGCCCCUCUACAGGAAGCUAUGUCCGUGCACCCUUUAAAGGACUGUUUAUCCACCACUGUUCCUGAGCAGGGAGACAAACUGUUUCACAAGGGAACUGUUCCUCAAACGCUGACAACAUUAGAGACUGUUACUCACUCCAGGGCUUCCCCAGAGGCUAGGUUACAACCCUCAGCUAACUCUGGACCCCUGGAGGCCAAGUUGCCAGCUGUGGACUGCACCCGGCUAUCACUGCCUGAGCAGGGUCAGGGCUCUGUGCAGCUACAGCCCUCCUCGUGUGUGCCAGAGGCCCACGUGCCUACUGGUUUUGUUUCACGUGUACCAGAGGCCCACGAGCCUGCUGGUUUUGUUUUGUGUGUGCCAGGGGCUUCCAUGCCCACUGGUUUUGAGCCUGUUUUCGCUGGGGGGACCGAGGAGCCCAUCCAGCCUUCGCCGUCAUCAGCAGCUUCCGCUGAGGGGUCUCAGGAACCGCUUCAGCCUGCUGCUUUCGCUGGGGGGACCGGGGAGCCCAUCCAGCUAUCGCCAUUGCCUGCAGCGCCACCAUCUCCGGCUCUCAAGCCGCCGCCUGCAGCGCCUCCGUCUUUGGCUUCCAUGCCGCCACCGCCUGCAGCGCCUCCGUCUCCGGCUCUCACGCCGCCACCGCCUGCAGCGCCGCCAUCUCCGGCUCUCAAGCCGCCGCCGCCUGCAGCGCCUUCGUCUCCGGCUUUCACGCCGCCAUCUGCAGCGCCUUCGUCUGCAGCGCAUUCACCUACGGCUUCUACGCCUCCGCCUGCAGCGCCAUCGUCUCAGGCAUCUUCACUAGCUGCAGCCUCUUCGUCUUCACCAGCAGCACCGGCGGCUCCAUCACCGCCUGCACCAGCAGCUCCAUCACCGGCUGCACCAGCAGCGCCAUCACCGGCUGCACCAGCAGCUGUAGCAGCUCCAUCACCGGCUGCACCAGCAGCUCCAUCACCGGCUGCACCGGCAGCUGCAGCAGCUCCAUCACCGGCUGCACCGGCAGCUGCAGUAGCGCCACCGUCUCCGGCCUCCACGCCGCCGCCUGCAGCCUCGUCAUCUUCGCCAGCCGCAGCCUCUUCGUCUUCGCCAGCCGCAGCCUCUUCAUCCUCGCCAGCCGCAGCCUCAUCAUCCUUGCCGGCUGCAGUUUUUGCUUCUGCCUCCGUGCCUUCGCCUGGGCCAGCUUCAGAGCCUUCAGCAUCACCUGCUUUAGCUUCAGCCUCACCUUCGUCCUCGUCUGGUCCAGCUUUCGUGUCUGCAUCCUCGUCUGGUCCAGCCUUCGUGUCUGCAUCCUCGUCUGGCCCAGCCUCCUCAUCGGCUUCAGCCUCGCCUGCAGCAGCAGCUUCGUCGUCAUCAUCAGCACCUGCCGCAGCUUCUCCUGGCCCGGCCUCUGCAUCAGCUCCAGCCUCGCCUGGCCCGGCCUCUGCAUCAGCUCCAGCCUCGCCUGGCCCGGACUCUGCAUCAGCUCCAGCCUCGCCUGGUUCGGCUUCAGCAGCAGCUUCUGCCUCGGCCUCCGUAUCAGUUCCAGCCCCGCCUGGUUCGGCUUCAGCAGCAGCUUCUGCCUCAUCCUUCUCCUCGUCCUUGCCUGGUUCUGCUGGCACGCCGCCAUCCGGUCCACGUCCGGCACCUCAUUUUCACUGGCCGUUUUCUAGGCCGCUGGAUGGUCGUCAUCGCCGAUGUGGACGUCCUCCUGAACGAGGUUGUCGCCGCCACCGCCUUCCACGUGGCCGGCCUCCGGACUUCUGCGGCCGCCACCGCCUUCCGCGUGGCCGGCCUCCGGACUUCUGCGGCCGCCACCGCCUUCCGCGUGGCCGGCCUCCGGACUUCUGCGGCCACCACUGCCUUCUUCGUGGCCAGCCUCCUGAACUGUCCCAUACUGGCCUUCUGUGCUGUUGGGCCCCAGGUCGGCAACCUGAACUAUGUUUCAGACUCUGCUCCCCCGUGUGUUUGUGACCAUUUUGUUUGGGACUCUUGGGCCUCCAUUUUGGUCCUGGUCUGGUCCCUCCGUCCUGGACCCCCUACCGUCCACCCGGGUCUGGUGGUGUGUUUCUGUGGCUGUCGGGAGCCAGCCCUUGAGGGGGGGGUACUGUCAUGAUCCUGAGUCCAUGACUCAGCGGUUUUGGGUUUGGUGUAUUUAUUGUUAUUAUUUGUGGGCUGUUUGGGAUGGUUUGUGUUUUGGGAUUUUGAUACUGGGUUUCUGGGGUUGUGCUCCCUCUGUUGGUCCCUGGUGUGAGUGUUUCCCCUGUCUCGUCAGGUUAACCAGGUCCAGCUGUGUCUCCCACCUGUGUGUGAUUUCCCAGUGUCCCUCUGUGUAUUUAUUGUGUGUGUUUGCCUUUGUUCCUCGUUGCGAUGUCUGUGUUCAUCACUCAGUGUCACCCUGCCUACUCUGCAUUGCUCUGUGUUCUUCCUCUGUGUCACCCUGCGUGCUCUCCCUGCUGUCCUCCCUCCAUGCUCAGGUUUGCUGCUCUUUGGUUUAGAUUCUCCCAGUUUAGUUCAUCUUUAGUUCUGUUUUACCAUCUCCACUUUAUGUUUGGUAUUCAUAAUAAAUCUCCCUCACAUCUGAAUAAGUACUGCAUUUGAGUCCUCCCUUCCACACCUCACACGGCCGCUGCCCCGAGCCGUGACAACAGUAGAAGAAAAUAUAAUAAAAUAAAAUAAUAAAAAAUAAAUAGAAAAAUAGUAAAGAGCAAAAUAUUAGAGAGACGUGGUAAAAGAGAAAAGAUGACUAAAUAUAUAUGUAUCUAUAAAUAUAAAUAUAUGUACACUAGUGAUUAAAUAAGAAAAUCUUGAAAAGAAAUAUGACGGGGGGUCAGAUGAGAUAUUGCACAGGAAUGAGCAGCAGAAAAUUACAGUAUUGCACUUAAGUACAAAUUCUGUGUACUUAAAAAAUAUUUCUGGAUUCAAACAAAUUUAUUUCGUGCAACCACUUGUCAGGCUAGUUAGUAUCCAUUUACAAAAACAGGACAGUGGUAACAACAGAAACUACAGACAAUUUUAAGUUUUAGAUUUUAAACAGGCUGUAUACAUUUCAAAGGGAGCAACAGGACGGUCAAAUGUCACUGAUUUUACUACAGAGCAGGACGGAUUGUAGGGUAGCAAACAUCGUCGGAAAACAAGUUUUCAACACUGCAGGUUACCUGGUGUAAUGUUUUUCAGCUAAAAAGAAACAUGGUCUGACUCCUACCUAACUAUAUAAAGAGUAACUGCAGGUUAAAUGUAGCUAAUAUGUCCUGUUUUCAGCCAGUCACUUACACCUCUGCUCCGCUGCGUCUCAGAGUAGCUGGAACAAACCAUUUUGGGAGGGGGGGGGCGUUAUCUAUACUUUCGUUGUUGAAAUGUUACGUCUCAACCAAGUACUGUAUGCUUUUUAUAUUUUUAGUAGUGUGUCACAAAAACAGCAAAUAUUGUCAAAAAAGUAACAAAUCUUUGGGGGUGCUUUGAUUCAUUUUGGGGGUGCUGAAGCACCCUCAAAAAUGGGCUAAAAUCGCCCCUGCAUGAGAGAAUUACAAUAAAAAAGCGAAACGGCUAGACAAAUCUACGGACAAGAGUAGAGAACACAUCAAAACACUAAAAAUAAAGAAAGAAAUGUAAGGAAACUUGGACUACAGAGGGAAGGAAGCAGGAAGAAAAUGAAAAAUACAUCUACUAAAUAGCAAGAAACAUAUUAACCCAGUGCAAAAGAAAGUUAUUAGGAUAAAAAAAAUAAAAUGAAAAACAGGAAACACGAGUGAAUUACAUGAGAAAAGGGAAACAACCACAGAAAACAACAAACAAGAUUAGACAACACAAGAAAAACACACAAAUAAAGUAAGAAAUGUAAGGAAACUUGGACUACAGAGGGAGGAAACAGGAAAAAAAUGAAACAUAAAUCUAUUAAAUAGCAAGAAACAUAUUAAAGCAGUGAAAAAACCUUAUUAAGAUAGAAAAUAACAUGACAAACGAGGAAAUUAUAUGACACAAAAAGCAAACAACUAGACAAAACUACAAAGAAAGCAAAGGGUAUUUACACAUACUGUAAACAGGCUUUAGUUGAUAUAUAUCUGAGGCC